rnacentral:rRNA from 1 species
AUUGAACGCUAGCGGGAUGCUUUACACAUGCAAGUCGAACGAGUGGCGGACGGGUGAGUAAUAUAUCGGACCGUGCCCAGUAGCGGGGGAUAACUACUCGAAAGAGUGGCUAAUAACGCAUACCAUUGAAGCGGCCGAUAUGGGAUUAGUUAGUUGGUGGGGUAAAGGUUCACCAAGGCAACGAUCCGUAGCUGGUUUGAGAGGACGACCAGCCACACUGGGACGGAGACACGGCCCAGACUACUACGGGAGGCAGCAGUGGGGAAUUUUGGACAAUGGGGGAAACCCUGAUCCAGCCAUCCCGCGUGUAUGAGAAGGCCUUCGGGUUGUAAAGUACUUUUGGCAGUGAAGCGGUAUCUGCAGAAUAAGCACCGGCUAACUACGUGCCAGCCGCCGCGGUAAUAC